rnacentral:rRNA from 1 species
UACAGAGGUCCCAAGCGUUGUUCGGAUCCACUGGGCGUAAAGGGUGCGUAGGCGGUCGGGUAAGUCUGAUGUGAAAUCUCACAGCUUAACUGUGAAACUGCAUUGGAUACUAUCCGGCUCGAGGAAUGGAGGGGAGACUGGAAUACUUGGUGUAGCAGUGAAAUGCGUAGAUAUCAAGUGGAACACCAGUGGCGAAGGCGAGUCUCUAGACAUUUCCUGACGCUGAGGCACGAAAGCCAGGGGAGCAAACGGG